rnacentral:rRNA from 1 species
AUACGCCUACGGGAGGCAGCAGUAGGGAAUCUUUCACAAUGGGCGAAAGCCUGAUGGAGCAACGCCGCGUGCAGGAUGAAGGCCUUCGGGUUGUAAACUGCUUUUAUAAGCGAGAAAUAUGAUGGUAACUUAUGAAUAAGGAUCGGCUAACUACGUGCCAGCAGCCGCGGUCAUACGUAGGAUCCGAGCAUUAUCCGGAGUGACUGGGUGUAAAGAGUGCGCAGGCGGUCCUGCAAGUCUGGAGUGAAACGCAUGAGCUCAACUCAUGCAUGGCUUUGGAAACUGGAGGACUGGAGAGCAG